CAACAACAACAUCUUCAUCAGUUUUCCUUGAAGUCACCGACCCGCCUGAGACAACAACUGAAGGUGUGAUGCUGUAUGUGGGCCUGAGUCUGGCCGUCAUGGUCGUCCUGUUAUCAGUGGCUGCGCUGAUAUUCUGCAGAAAGAGGAAAUCUAAACCUGAGGGUGCCGUAACAGGAAACGUGCACACACACACUGAACCACCUGUGGAAUAUGCUUCUGUCAC